ensembl:lncRNA
GUAACCUGUGGAUUCAUUUAUCUUGAAAUUAGCAGGUAAUGAACUGGAAACCCUCAACAACCCUCCCACUAAUUAACAUGAUAAUAAGAUUGUUUUGCUACAGAGGUACAAUUAGCAUGUAUGAGCUAGAGGGGGAGAAAGAUCAAUAAAAUGUCUGAAGGGUACUAGGAACCAGACUCAAGAAGAGAACAAAAGAAGAGAGCUUUAUGGGGUUAUAGCUGCAGCAACAACUUAAGGCCCUUUACAGAUAGCAAGAGUAGUAGUGGUCGUCUUACCGUGAGGCUGCCUGCAAGCAGGCUGGGAGGAGCUACCUGCACCAUGCAACUUCUUGCCAUUCAGGCUAGAUGUAGAGUAAGAGGACAAUGUGUUCAAAAAUAUGGAAAAAAAAAGCUUUGGGGAAGGAAAGAAAGCCUUCAGAACAUAUAUAUGAUGCCUGUCCACAAAAGCAGUUCGUGUAUUAGAAGGUGAAAGUGGAUGAUUUAGAGUCGUUUACCACCCGUAAUCAUGCAACAAUUUCAGCAUAUACAUUGAGAAACUGCUCUUCACUGUUUAAUUGCAGAAUCAUGCCUUUACAUAUGGAACUGGAUGAGAAAUAGCGAAGAAAAAGUUGCACAACAGUUUUAAUAGUCACUCUUUGUUAAGCCAGAACAGUUUGGCUGAAGGGAGGUGAUCACAUGCAGCUGGAGGGAGCUCGCUUUGCCAGCCAGGUGUGUCUGCCUCCUCCAUGUGCCUGGUCAGGAGGCUCAAAAAAGGGUUAUUUUCUUCCAGAGAAGGAACACGAAGAAAAAGGGAGGUUGUUUUUUGGUACAUUUAUAGUUGCUUGUCUACUAAUGCAUUUCCAUCCACAUGGAUUGGAUCCAACACAUCCGUGGGUGUGUCUGGGGGAAAGUAGAGAUACGCAGCUGUGAUCCAUGUUAUGGCUAGGAGCAGAUAUGGCAUUGGAUUCUGUGGGUUAAUGAGGGAGAAGGAGAGUGGGGCUACAGACCUGAUAGCCUCUCUGUAUCCUUCUGCAGGUCUUGUUGGAGAACAGAUCUCUGCCCUUCAGUUUGGAGGAGUUUGGGUUAAAUCCCUGCAGGUCUCAGUGAAGCUCAAUUGGAUUCUUUAUUUUUUCACAAGCCCCCAAAAGCAUUGGCUCCUCUACAGAAAGCCACAUUUGCCCUAGAUGACUUGGGAAAUGAGAUCAUUCACAGUUGCUUGACGUAAAUGGUGGGUGCUGAAGGCUCCAAUCUGGCCCCGAGCUCUUUCCCUCACAUCUGGCUUAACCCCACAUCUGUCCUCCCCAUCUGCGCCGACGCCUUCUGUCACCUCCCAGACUCCACAUCGUGCAGAGCAGUUCAGCACAGCACUGCAGAGGCAUUUGAGAUGGUCUGGACUAUGGCCUUCAGGUAGCGCUGACAACAACUGCGAAUAUUUCACCACCAGCCUAAUUUUUGCAUGAAUGUUAUUCAUCGGUCAUUUGAGUUCGCAGAUUAUUGUCUCCUGGCAUUCUUUGGAGAGUGGAAGAGGAAGGAAAACUAUUAAUUACUUUUGAUUGACGUCUUGCAUUCGUGUGUGUGUCUGUAGGGGGAUGGGUUGUUGUGCGCUUUUUUUUUUUUAAGAGAGCCUCAGGUUUGAAUUGGGUAAACUGACACCUUGCAAUCCGAUCUGACAGCCCUGCUUUGUGUGGGAGUGUGUACGGCUCCAAAAUUUCAGCUGUGAGACUUUCUGCGUGAGCAGUCGUUUUAUUAGAAGUUUUGACACCUCUCCUGGCAGGGAUCAGUGCCCGCAGUGUGAACGGAAACACCAAAAAGAGCAUUGUGCGAUGCAGAGUGGGAAGGGAAGAAAAGAAGUUUUGCAGCAAACAACUGAAAUUAGCUCAGACAGAGAUCUUUGGAGACCUCACCUCACCACAGCAACAGUGUGACAGGGGAGUCAUCCCACUGUAUUGAUGGUCCUGGAUUCGCAUUAUCAUUUCAGAAUCACAGAUGCCCACGCAGUGUUGUUGUUUGUUUCUCCCUCUGAACCUGCCCAGUUGAUGUUAUUUUGGGCUUAACUGUUUAUGAGUUUCUUUCAUAAGAGAGUGGUGUUAUCUUGGGUUUGUUCCACAUUUUGGCUUGAGAUUUGCAACUGAUUUGUUGGUGUUGUGUGUAUGAGGCAGAGCAUCCUUCUUAGGUGAUACAGAG